UACAGAGGGUGCAAGCGUUAAUCGGAAUUACUGGGCGUAAAGCGUGCGCAGGCGGUUUUGUAAGUCUGACGUGAAAUCCCCGGGCUCAACCUGGGAAUUGCGUUGGAGACUGCAAGGCUGGAGUCUGGCAGAGGGGGGUAGAAUUCCACGUGUAGCAGUGAAAUGCGUAGAGAUGUGGAGGAACACCGAUGGCGAAGGCAGCCCCCUGGGUCAAGACUGACGCUCAUGCACGAAAGCGUGGGGAGCAAACAGG
rnacentral:rRNA from 1 species